GUCUAUGGCCAUGCCACCCUAAACACGUCCAAUCCCGUUUUAUCUCGGAAGCUAAGCAGGGUCGGCCUGGUUAGCACUUGGAUGAGAGACCAUCUAGGAAGACUGGUGCUGUAGGUA
rnacentral:rRNA from 1 species